GAUGAACGCUGGCGGCGUGCCUAAUACAUGCAAGUCGAGCGAACGGACGAGAAGCUUGCUUCUCUGAUGUUAGCGGCGGACGGGUGAGUAACACGUGGAUAACCUACCUAUAAGACUGGGAUAACUUCGGGAAACCGGAGCUAAUACCGGAUGAUAUUUUGAACCGCAUGGUUCAAAAGUUAAAGACGUUCUUGCUGUCACUUAUAGAUGGAUCCGCGCUGGAUUAGCUAGUUGGUAAGGUAACGGCUUACCAAGGCAACGAUGCAUAGCCGACCUGAGAGGGUGAUCGGCCACACUGGAACUGAGACACGGUCCAGACUCCUACGGGAGGCAGCAGUAGGGAAUCUUCCGCAAUGGGCGAAAGCCUGACGGAGCAACGCCGCGUGAGUGAUGAAGGUCUUCGGAUUGUAAAACUCUGUUAUUAGGGAAGAACAUAUGUGUAAGUAACUGUGAACAUCUUGACGGUACCUAAUCAGAAAGCCACGGCUAACUACGUG
rnacentral:rRNA from 1 species